CCUCCGCGGGUCCCCAGGGCUGCACCGGCGGCGCGCGCGGGCUGAGACUCCCCAGGGCGCGGGGGUGGGGGGCGGCGCCUCGCGACCCUCCCUCGGCCAGGCCGCCCGUCGCGGCGGGAGACCUACCCCCACCCUCCGCGCGCGCUGCAAGCCGGCCGGCGUCGCCCCCUCCCCGCCCUCAGCGGUGAGCACCCCGCUCCGGGGAGGGGCUCUCUAAGGGGGGGGGGGAACCGGCCCAACGCUGACUGGAGUCCCGCCCGAGCGAACCGAGACCAGCGCUGAAACGCGCGUUGCGCUCAGGUUGGCCACCCCUGUUCUAGUCCAUCUUGACCACAAUCCACAUCAGCAGGUGGAAGAAGUGCUGCUGUACUAUUGAAUUCAAACACAGCACUUCCCCUUGCAGCCUGGUUUCCCAUGUAGUGAUCACAAAGCCAUUUGACGUUAGCUUGAACAGCGAAACCUGCACACAGGACUCUUAACUCCAAAAGGGAUCACACCUUGCCAGUCUUUAGAAGCAGUUUCGUUACUCAAGUUUUGGUACAACUUGGUACAAACUUUAAAGGACCCAUCUACAAACAGCCAACAAAAAAAAGAGUCUCCUUUCAAAUGAAACUAUGAUGCCACUUCAAUAGUGAUGACUUCACAUUUUCCUGUAUCUUGAUCUGUGCAGGUGGACUUGAAUAGAUCCUGUAGCACUUUGUGUACUACUUACGCCACCAUUCCUGGUCAAAAAGUUCUCUCUUCUAACUUGCCAUUGUGAAGUACGUUGCUGGGCUGGUUGCUUGCUACAUUUCAGCAGUGCUCUAUAUAUGAGCAGCCUGCAAAGCACUUGUAGGAUUCUUCAGCUUGAUAAAGGUGCUAAGUAAAGGAAGAAUUCCUUUUUUAAAAAAAAUACUUUGCUUGGAAAGUCAGUAUGAUCUGUUUAUGGGAAUGAUUUAAAGGCAAUUUCUAGAGAGACUGGCGUAGGGACUUCCACUCCUCCCAACAAAAAGUCUGUUCUUGUACAUCCACUGAAUUUCCAAAUAAUUCACAGCAAGAAUUUUAUAUUAACUUCUUGUAUGUACUCACCUGUGCAAAUUUGUCUUCCUCUUUUGCAGGACUUUUCCCUAGAGACUCAUAUAGUUCAAGGCAUACAGAGGAAUUAUUUCCUGGGGCAAGUAGUGUGUGCUGCCUUCGUGCUGGCAAGGGAGUUCCUGAUGGAAACAGCACUGUGAAUUUGUCAGUCCCCGAUUCAUCUAUACCCUAACAAACAAGAAAAGUUGGCAUGACAUAUCUAAUCUCUGAACUUUACAUAAGAGGAUCCCUGCUUCUGUGGCUGCCCCAAUAGGAAUGACCUCAUCUGGUGCGAUAGAAUUCAGCAGCUCCACAGCUGGGAAAAGGUCUUUAAUUAGCUGUUGUAGCUUUGGAAUUCGAGCAGACCCACCACAUAGAACUACCUAGAAAAUAUUAUUCCUUAGUGACUUCAGAACUUUACAGAACGUAAGUGAACAUACAGCUACAUUGUGGAAGGUUAAAUUGCUCUGUAAUGUUUAAUGCUCUAUGACCCAUUGUGUAAAAA